rnacentral:lncRNA from 1 species
AGGAUAAGGAAAAGGUGAGAAGGAUGGCUGCUAUUUCGGUGACCUGGGAACAUAGUCCUCAAGAUUCAGCCAUUUACGUCUCAAUGACAAUGCUCCUCUGGGCACCUGAAUCUGAUACUUUUAGUUUCUGAAAGUUACAAGGGAAGGGAAUUGUGCAUGUCCAAGGAACUGUACGAUUACUUAUAUUCAAGUAAUCUAUGGAAUGUGAAGAACUGAAGAACCAUGCCAUGGCUUAAAUUGUAGUGAGUGUGAAGUAUCUACUAUUAUAUUCAGUUCCAUUUAUUUAUUGAAAAACCUCAGUUCCAUCAGUAAGGGUGCCAAAAGGAGGGUAAAAGGAAAACGCUGAUUGUUUUGGAUUUGCCAAGGUGCACCUCAGCUGUGUACAGCCGAUAGAGAGGUUGAAGCAACUGGAAUGGGUUCAGUAAGUUAUCUUUGUUACUAUGCUUGAAUCUAGCUGAUGUUAACCUGUUCAAGUGCUUCAAAAUGAUUGGAACUUUGAGAAUACCUAGUAUAAUUUAUAUCAUGUGUCUUUCCUACUCAAUGUAUAUCAGAAACGUGGAUUGCUUUUUGACAAACAACUCAUUCUUAUCUGUCAUCUGUGACCCCUUGGUUUGCUUUGGAAUGAUUAUCCCACAGAAUUAUUCAUGUUGUCUUUUCGCAGUAUGAGGAGGUCAGCCGGUCGUUGCAAGUUAGGAUGUGGCUAAUCGGUUGCAAAGACGAUAAAGCACAAGUCUAGUACAGACACACCUACUGACACCCUGAGGUACCUGGGGCUUUUGACGAAGCAUGCACAUUGGCAAGGUAAUAAGGCUUCUAUACCAUCCAAGCAAUGGCUUUUAUCAGUUAUUGCUUCCCUUCCCAGUGGGCACUAUCUGCAUAGCGACAAAGGUGUUCGUUAAGUAAUCGUUGAUGAUGGGGCACUUUCGUCCUGGCACCUAAAAGGUGAUUUGGUCAAGGAAUUAAAAUCGGUUUUUCACUCUAGAGUCUAGACCCGCACAUUAUCUAAUGAAUAGUGCAGAUUCCUGCAAUUACUUAUCAAAAUAACAUUGCAAAAAGUUUACUGUUCCAAAGCGAUCCAAUUUACUGAAUGCAAGGGUUGUAAAUUUUGAUUCUGUCGAUCUUGCAAAAAUGAGGUUAUUGUACUUACCGUUUUUUGUCAACCAAAAAUGGCAUUUUCCCAUUCGGCGCCAUUGUAUUCAUAAUUAUUUUUUAUUCCUUUUUUCUUUUGCACUACUUAAUUUUGUUUUUUGUUUUCUCUUUCCUUUCCAUCUCCGUUAUUAUGUGACAAACAGUUUUUGACUUUUUGUGCCCAAUUCUGUUUCGCUGCAGUCAAUCGAGCAAUAACGGUCACUAGGACACAGGUCCUGUUUGGAACGGCUGAA